ncrna:unclassified sequences eL15-Euryarchaeota ribosomal protein leader
CCCGAUCCGUUCGGGAUGACAUGUGGCGCAGGUGCGCUGAAUCGCAAC